GUGACUGUGGAAAGUAAAAAUGUAAGAUGUGACCUAAAUUAUUAUUACUGGACUGGACGUAUUAUGUUUUGCACACAACCACCAGCAAGAUUUACCUGAACAAAAUGAAAGAAGGGAGGAAACAAACAAAAGUUGGAACUUUCUACCUAGUUCAUGUAGAACUUUAAUACAUGGUCAGGCUGCUGGCGUGCAGAGAACACUUCCUACUCAUGCAAGGUUCAUGCACUUGGCAACAUUCAGGGCACACCCGGAGUGUUGUGUAGGAGCAGUGCACACACGGCUCCUCUCAAGGGCAUGAACCUUGGAAUCUCGCCCAGAUGACAUGAACCGUGGGAAGCCUCCCAGGACUGGGCUCAAGGCCUGAGAGCAAGGAAUGCGGUAGAUAGAUAUUAGUAAAUAAGAAUAUUAAACAAAGCCAGUGUAUUCCUUUUAUCUGUUGGAGUAUGUAAUGCGUGGGGGGAGAGAAAGAAUAAAAGAGAGGGUGGAAAGCUGACAGGAGACCAGCCCGUCGGCAGACCAGCCUGCUUGCUUGCUUAAAGCCUUGUUCUGUCUUGUAUUUGGACCGCAACAACUGGCGCCCAAACGUGGGACCCUCAGCACUCACCUCGCCCGGCAAGGGUUUCAGACGCGUCACUCAUCCGCUUCAUGGAUCCUGGGCUGGUGGACACUGGAGCUGAUGUUACGGUGAUUCGUGAUCAGGACUGGCCGUCAUACCCCUCUGCCUGGGCUGCUCACUGAAGGCAAUGCGCGCGCUGAUCGCACGUUACGUGGUCAGAUCAGCAGACCCCCGCGGAUUGGCAUUUUCAUAAGUCCGAGGUACUGGAAAGACCGAGUGUCUAUUACCGUCAGCUGCCCGAUCUGCAGUGGUUGGGCCCAGUACCUUUAAUUACCGUUACCGUUAUGGGUUCCAUUGUGGGUUCCAGCCCAGUGUGUGCGACCGGCACUGAAACAGCAUGGCGUGGCACCAGGGGCUGUCGAACCCCAUACCGGAGUUUCAGCUGACCUUGGAGGAGAACGCGGUGCCUCCCGGGUCGACAAUGGCGGGACGGAGACGGAGGAGACGUAGCGUCCCAAGCCAGCCCGUGACAUGGGGAACAGUGAAAGCAUUGGUCGCCGCGGCUCAACGAAGACUGGCAGCAAACCAACAGCCGGAGACUCCUGAGACUCUGUUUGUGGCCAUUCUCGCCCAAAUCACUGCUAAUUCUGUAUUAAUUGUGUGCC